UUUGAUUUGUGAUUUACAGUUGAAAUAAGAUUUUCAUUGUACAAUAUUUGGGAUGGUGUAAGCUGUAAUGUCUAGUCCAAUUUUUGUUGCAUUGUUAAUUUGUUUUAACUAAUUGAUAUUUCCCCCCCUAACAUGGAUUUCAAGGACUGGCUGACCCUUGAAAGAAACUCAUCAUGUUCUUGUUCCAAUCUCAAAUGAAUGUUAUUGUUCAGAGGAAACGCACUUGUUCCCAACCUGAUCGCUUACCUAAUCGACUCUAAUGUCUUUAACUUGAAUUAGAAGCAAUGCCUAUUAUAGCAUUCUAACUUGCAAUCAAGGCCAUGCUUCAUUUGAACGACUAUACAUUUAUGCAUCUCAUUGCAUGUAGUCUGACAUUUGCAUCUGGUGUAUAUUUUUAUGCUGGUCUGACCACUAGAACUUGUGUCCUUUCUGGGAUGGUUGAUAAUUCGCGGUGAGACAAGGCAGGCUGACCAUUUGAUGCCAAGAACACUAAAUUUGAUCCAUGAACGGCGGCUACGCAACUUUCAAUUUGAAGAAUCAGACAUAGGGAUAUGUAACUAUACCCGACACCUGUACCCGAGUCCAGGUAUCAUAGCUUCUACAACAGGUGAAGUAGAAAAAGGGAAUGGGAGAGAGGACAACUGGGAGCAAUAAAAUAUGCAGUCAUAUUUCUGUAAUUCCAAAUGCAUAUGUAUAUAGUUCAUGCUCUUUAUUCA